ensembl:ncRNA lncRNA:CR45153 long non-coding RNA:CR45153
GGAGUCUCAUUUGAGGAUCAGACCGGGGCGUACUGGCGUCUUAAGUUUAUUACGUUCGUCUUAUUCAAAUCGUAGGUCUGAGUAAUUAGGCGCAUUGUUUAAACUUGGAAAAAAGGCAAGAGAAAUUAGAAAUUCGGAGUCCUAAACCAAUAAAGCACUACUUCAAGGCUAAUGGGGAUAAGAAUUGCAGGGCACGAGUGUAGGGUUACAAACAUGUGCUGACAGAUAUCUCUCCUAUAAAAAUAGAUCGAAGAGACAUUCGUGCAUAUGUCAUAUCGUCGUGAUGCCUGUCAAAAUCAUAAUCUUGGAUGACACGAUGGCCUCUGGAGAUGAAUUCUUCACUGCCCCCGGGAGUCUGUAAUCUGCGGGAGAUUUAUUAGAUUGCGUAUACGGAAUCGAUUCACAGACAAUUUUGCUAAUUGGACCGCAGCCAAGACUAAAGAUUCUAAGCCAUUGUUAGCUUAAGCCAAACCGUUAACAGGCCAUCAAAGAAUCCGUUUUUAUAUGCCAAUCAACCCCUUGAGUUGGUUCCUUUUAGUUUUCCGUUUCGCUGGCACAUGUGUGCUCGGGAUCUUAUAACUGAAUAAAUAUAUAAAUAAAAUUACCCAUUUACGCAUCCACCCCGUGGCGAAUUAUG